UACGUAGGGGGCAAGCGUUGUCCGGAAUUAUUGGGCGUAAAGAGCUCGUAGGCGGUUUGUCGCGUCGGGAGUGAAAACUCGGAGCUCAACUCCGAGCCUGCUUCCGAUACGGGCAGACUAGAGGUAGGCAGGGGAGAGCGGAACUCCUGGUGUAGCGGUGGAAUGCGCAGAUAUCAGGAAGAACACCGGUGGCGAAGGCGGCUCUCUGGGCCUUACCUGACGCUGAGGAGCGAAAGCGUGGGUAGCGAACAGG
rnacentral:rRNA from 1 species